rnacentral:rRNA from 1 species
GACGAACGCUGGCGGCGUGCUUAACACAUGCAAGUCGAACGGAAAGGCCCUGCUUUUGUGGGGUGCUCGAGUGGCGAACGGGUGAGUAACACGUGAGUAACCUGCCCUUGACUUUGGGAUAACUUCAGGAAACUGGGGCUAAUACCGGAUAGGAGCUCCUGCUGCAUGGUGGGGGUCGGAAAGUUUCGGCGGUUGGGGAUGGACUCGCGGCUUAUCCGCUUGUUGGUGGGGUAGUGGCUUACCAAGGCUUUGACGGGUAGCCGGCCUGAGAGGGUGACCGGCCACAUUGGGACUGAGAUACGGCCCAGACUCCUACGGGAGGCAGCAGUGGGGAAUAUUGCACAAUGGGCGGAAGCCUGAUGCAGCAACGCCGCGUGCGGGAUGACGGCCUUCGGGUUGUAAACCGCUUUCGCCUGUGACGAAGCGUGAGUGACGGUAAUGGGUAAAGAAGCACCGGCUAACUACGUG